GGAAAAUUUUCAUGCGCGCCAUUGUUAACGUUUUUUUGCGGUCGGAAGAGGUCGGAAAUCCCGGACAAGUUUUUAUUUGGUUUUGGUAUUGAAGUGGCCAUAAUCAGAUCGGAAGACAAUGGCAUCAAUUUAGGUAACGGCGAGGCAGAUGCAAAGGGCAGAAGAUCACAACCGGUGCUUCAGGCGUGAGCUGCAAACAAUUUUUACUUCUAUCAGAUAGAAGUUUAGCGCACAAACCGUACUCAUCGCACAUACGGGACAUGGAUCUUGAAGGUGAGCCGGAGCCGUCUACCAGAGAUUGGUUGCGUCGGAGGCGCACCGGUACGCAUUGCAGUGAUGGUGAUAGUUAUGAUGAAUAAAAAAAACAAGUGUCUCAGUGAGUGUAAUAAAGUUUUUCUAGAUAUAAAUAAAAUCAAAAAAGCAAGGAAA